rnacentral:tRNA from 2 species
GGGGGAUUAGCUCAGCUGGCUAGAGCGCCUGCCUUGCAAGCAGGAGGUCAUCGGUUCGACUCCGAUAUUCUCCA